rnacentral:rRNA from 1 species
CGAGAAUCAUUCACAAUGGGGGCAACCCUGAUGGUGCGACGCCGCGUGGGGGAAUGAAGGUCUUCGGAUUGUAAACCCCUGUCAUGUGGGAGCAAAUUAAAAAGAUAGUACCACAAGAGGAAGAGACGGCUAACUCUGUGCCAGCAGCCGCGGUAAUACAGAGGUCUCAAGCGUUGUUCGGAAUCACUGGGCGUAAAGCGUGCGUAGGCUGUUUCGUAAGUCGUGUGUGAAAGGCAGGGGCUCAACCCCUGGAUUGCACAUGAUACUGCGAGACUAGAGUAAUGGAGGGGGAACCGGAAUUCUCGGUGUAGCAGUGAAAUGCGUAGAUAUCGAGAGGAACACUCGUGGCGAAGGCGGGUUCCUGGACAUUAACUGACGCUGAGGCACGAAGGCCAGGGGAGCGAAAGGGAUUAGAUACCCCUGUAGUCCUGGCAGUAAACGGUGCACGCUUGGUGUGCGGGGAAUCGACCCCCUGCGUGCCGGAGCUAACGCGUUAAGCGUGCCGCCUGGGGAGUACGGUCGCAAGAUUAAAACUCAAAGAAAUUGACGGGGACCCGCACAAGCGGUGGAGUAUGUGGCUUAAUUCGAUGCAACGCGAAGAACCUUACCUGGGCUUGACAUGUAAUGAACAACAUGUGAAAGCAUGCGACUCUUCGGAGGCGUUACACAGGUGCUGCAUGGCCGUCGUCAGCUCGUGUCGUGAGAUGUUUGGUUAAGUCCAGCAACGAGCGCAACCCCUGUUGCCAGUUACCAUCGAGUAAUGUCGGGGACUCUGGCGAGACUGCCCAGAUCAACUGGGAGGAAGGUGGGGACGACGUCAGGUCAGUAUGGCCCUUAUGCCCAGGGCUGCACACGUACUACAAUGCCCAGUACAGAGGGGGCCGAAGCCGCGAGGCGGAGGAAAUCCUGAAAACUGGGCCCAGUUCGGACUGUAGGCUGCAACCCGCCUACACGAAGCCGGAAUCGCUAGUAAUGGCGCAUCAGCUACGGCGCCGUGAAUACGUUCCCG